UACAGAGGUCCCAAGCGUUGUUCGGAUUCAUUGGGCGUAAAGGGUGUGUAGGUGGCGCCGUAAGUCGGGUGUGAAAUCUCGGGGCUUAACUCCGAAACUGCAUUCGAUACUGCGGUGCUUGAGGACUGGAGAGGAGAGUGGAAUUCAUGGUGUAGCAGUGAAAUGCGUAGAGAUCAUGAGGAAGACCAGUGGCGAAGGCGGGUCUCUGGACAGUUCCUGACACUGAGACACGAAGGCCAGGGGAGCAAACGGG
rnacentral:rRNA from 1 species